rnacentral:lncRNA from 1 species
AACAUACAGUUAGGCAAUUUCUCCCUGUCCUUAACACACAGUUAGGCAAUUUCUCCCUCUCCUUAACACACAGUUAGGCAAUUUCUCCCUCUCCUUAACACACAGUUAGGCAAUUUCUCCCUCUCCUUAACACACAGUUAGGCAAUUGAAACAUCAUGUGGAUUUAAAUAAUUCUAACAACAGUUUCCUUUUUGUCAAAAAAUUAAUGCU